rnacentral:rRNA from 1 species
GACGAACGCUGGCGGCGUGCCUAAUACAUGCAAGUUGAGCGCUGAAGGUUGGUACUUGUACCAACUGGAUGAGCAGCGAACGGGUGAGUAACGCGUGGGGAAUCUGCCUUUGAGCGGGGGACAACAUUUGGAAACGAAUGCUAAUACCGCAUAAAAACUUUAAACACAAGCUUUAAGUUUGAAAGAUGCAAUUGCAUCACUCAAAGAUGAUCCCGCGUUGUAUUAGCUAGUUGGUGAGGUAAAGGCUCACCAAGGCGAUGGUACAUAGCCGACCUGAGAGGGUGGGCGGCCACAUUGGGACUGAGACACGGCCCAAACUCCUACGGGAGGCAGCAGUAGGGAAUCUUCGGCAAUGGACGAAAGUCUGACCGAGCAACGCCGCGUGAGUGAAGAAGGUUUUCGGAUCGUAAAACUCUGUUGGUAGAGAAGAACGUUGGUGAGAGUGGAAAGCUCAUCAAGUGACGGUAACUACCCAGAAAGGGACGGCUAACUACGUG